GUAAAUAUAGUUUAACAAAAACAUUAGAUUGUGAGUCUAACAAUGGAAGUGCAAACCUUCUUAUUUACC
rnacentral:tRNA from 1 species